ACUUUCAAUCCAUUCAUGAACACAUAACCGCUUACACAAAACUGGGGCAUGUAGACACUGGAAGUUACAUACAGACACCAAAUAUACAACAAAAAGAAAAAGCUCAGCCAAGAACACAAAAGGGAAUGUUACUAUCUUUUCAUUCAACCGUCAAAUAAGGCCCUCAAUCUCUGAGAAGCUUAUGCCGUCAAACUUGAUCCUCCACCAGAGGAGCGACCAUCGCCAUGUCAUCAGCCGACAAGAAUUAAACAACCACUGUUAGGUUAGCAAACUUAUCUAGCCUUAAAGACCUCAAAGCAAGCUUUAUCGGGUCAUGGUGACGACGUAAUUCACACCU
rnacentral:lncRNA from 1 species